GUUCGACUGCGACGUUGGUGACUGCCAAUAACGUUUUUUGAUCUAUGCUUUGUCUUUAAGGGAAUCAAGAUUUUCUAACAGCAGUAGACCGAGCAAGUACUCGGAAACUUUAAGUUGGAAGCAACGGUACCCACCUGGAUUUAUCCAGGUCAUAAACUGAGGUAAGACGGCGUUGCGGUUAGCCU
rnacentral:other from 1 species